GACGAACGCUGGCGGCGUGCUUAACACAUGCAAGUCGAACGGAAGGGCGCUGCGCUUGCGGGGUGCUCGUUUGGGGAACGGGGGAGUAACACGUGAGUAACCUGCCCUUGACUGAGGGGGAUAAUCAGGAAACAGGGGCGAUUACAGGAUAGGAGCUUCUGCAGCGCGGGGGGGGUUGGUGAGAGUCGGCGGUGGGGGCUGGUCUCGAGGGUUAUGCGCUGGUUUGUGGGGUAGUUGAUGACGAAGGCUUCGACGGGUAGCCGGCCUGGGAGGGUGGCCGGCCACCUUGGGACUGCGGUACGGCCCAGACUCGUACGGGAGGCAGCAGUGGGGAAUCUUGCGGAGUGGGGGGAAGCGUGAUGCGGCAGCGCCGCGUUCGGGAUGACGGCUUUCGGGUUGUAAACCGCUUUCGCCUGUGACGAAGCGUGAGUGACGGUAAUGGGUAAAGAAGCACCGGCUAACUACGUG
rnacentral:rRNA from 1 species